rnacentral:rRNA from 1 species
AAAGAGCUUGCUCUUUCCGGAAUUGAGUGGCAAACGGGUGAGUAACACGUAAACAACCUGCCUUCAGGAUGGGGACAACAGACGGAAACGACUGCUAAUACCGCAUAAAACUCUAAGAGGACAUCCUCAGUGAGUCAAAGAUUUAUUGCUGAAAGAUGGCCUCGCGUCUGAUUAGCUAGUUGGUGAGGUAACGGCCCACCAAGGCGACGAUCAGUAGCCGGACUGAGAGGUUGAACGGCCACAUUGGGACUGAGAUACGGCCCAGACUCC